CCUACGGGUGGCAGCAGUGAGGAAUAUUGGUCAAUGGGCGGGAGCCUGAACCAGCCAAGUCGCGUGAGGGAUGACGGUCCUACGGAUUGUAAACCUCUUUUGCCGGGGAGCAAGCGUGCGUUCGUGAACGCGCGUCGAGAGUACCCGGAGAAAAAGCAUCGGCUAACUCCGUGCCAGCAGCCGCGGUAAUACGGAGGAUGCGAGCGUUAUCCGGAUUUAUUGGGUUUAAAGGGUGCGUAGGCGGUCCGUUAAGUCAGCGGUAAAAUUGCGGGGCUCAACCCCGUCGAGCCGUUGAAACUGGCAGACUUGAGUUGGCGAGAAGUACGCGGAAUGCGCGGUGUAGCGGUGAAAUGCAUAGAUAUCGCGCAGAACUCCGAUUGCGAAGGCAGCGUACCGGCGCCAGACUGACGCUGAGGCACGAAAGCGUGGGGAUCGAACAGGAUUAGAUACCCGUGUAGUC
rnacentral:rRNA from 1 species